CUGGUGGGACCAGAAUGGGGUGGAACAACCCCUGGGAGUUGAUCCCUCCAUGGGAUGGAGACAUCAAUGGGAGACGAAUCCAAGGGGUCCCUCCAAAGCGCCCAAAGCCUCACCUGGGCUCCUUCAGGGUGAUGCUCUUGGUCUUGUUGCAGAUCUCGAUCACCACAGAGCAGCUCAGUGAUGACCCCAUCCUGGCUCAGGAUCUCCUCAGCUCUGGGAUCUCCUCAGCUCCCAAAUCUCCUCAGCUCCCAAAUCUCCUCAGCUCCCAAAUCUCCUCAGCUCUGGGAUCUCCUCAGCUCCAGGAUCUCCUCAGCUCCAGGAUCUCCUCAGCUCCGGGAUCUCCUCAGCUCCCAAAUCUCCUCAGCUCCGGGAUCUCCUCAGCUCCCAAAUCUCCUCAGCUCUGGGAUCUCCUCAGCUCCCAAAUCUCCUCAGCUCUGGGAUCUCCUCAGCUCCCAAAUCUCCUCAGCUCUGGGAUCUCCUCAGCUCUGGGAUCUCCUCAGCUCCGGGAUCUCCUCAGCUCUGGGAUCUCCUCAG
ensembl:lncRNA